UUUAGUUCCAUUCUCUGAUCCUGCCUAGCGCCUACUCCGAAACCCCUCCUCCGGUUUCAGUACCUCUUUCCAAUUGAUGAGAUGUAAUUUCUGGAUCUCAUCCCAGUAACCCCACAAGAAAUCCCUUUGGAUUUUUUCAAUCAUUUCUGCAACCAUGCGCAUGGUUUUAAAGAGGGAAGUAUUUUACACCGAUUACACAGAAGAUUCCUUGUUUACCUGCAAAUUUGCUAGUUCUUGCAUCACAAUUCACAUCUGCCAUGUGGACAGAGAUCCAAGCCAUUCAUCAGAUAUCUAAACAACAUAGAUAACCUGAUGGAAAGAUCUGACCUUGCACGUGUUA